GGGUCGAUGAUGAGAACUUCCUGAGGACGCUGAGGGACUCAUAACAAAUGGCAAUCUGAGGUCC